AAUAGAUACCCCGGUAGUCCACGCCGUAAACGAUGAGUGCUAAGUGUUAGAGGGUUUCCGCCCUUUAGUGCUGCAGCUAACGCAUUAAGCACUCCGCCUGGGGAGUACGGCCGCAAGGCUGAAACUCAAAGGAAUUGACGGGGGCCCGCACAAGCGGUGGAGCAUGUGGUUUAAUUCGAAGCAACGCGAAGAACCUUACCAGGUCUUGACAUCCUCUGACACUCCUAGAGAUAGGAUUUUCCCCUUCGGGGGACAGAGUGACAGGUGGUGCAUGGUUGUCGUCAGCUCGUGUCGUGAGAUGUUGGGUUAAGUCCCGCAACGAGCGCAACCCUUGAUCUUAGUUGCCAGCAUUCAGUUGGGCACUCUAAGGUGACUGCCGGUGACAAACCGGAGGAAGGUGGGGAUGACGUCAAAUCAUCAUGCCCCUUAUGACCUGGGCUACACACGUGCUACAAUGGAUGGUACAAAGGGCUGCAAGACCGCGAGGUUUAGCCAAUCCCAUAAAACCAUUCUCAGUUCGGAUUGCAGG
rnacentral:rRNA from 1 species